UGAGCUUUGAAGACCCCCAGAAACACUUUCUGGCAGGCUACAGAAACAUCAAGGAGAUUGGGUAGAAACAGGAGGGCCAGCUGAUGCUGAGAAAAAUUUGAGGCUCUCGUAUAUACAUAACAUGUGAAUCCACUACUGGGAUGGUUGCCUAGCAACAUUAUUCCCCUCCCCCUCAAGCCUUCUUGUGACAGCCUCACUUCUUUCCUAUUCUGAUAUUAGCUUAAUGUUUUUUUAUGAAUCAGAUGUACAAUAUUUUGGGAAUGGUGUAUAGCAUAAGAGAGUAGAGAGUAGCCUGAUUUACUAGUAUCAUUUGGAAAAUAUACAAUCCAGGCAGCUCUUUUAAAAAGUUAAUGGUCCAUUUUUGGCCAUGUUACAAAAGUAGAUGUUUAGAUUACAAGAAGAUUUUUUAAAAAGGAAAUACCUAAGGAUCCUGCCCUGCGAAGGCCCCAUUCUGCCGCUCUCGUAUUCAUAGCAGAUGUUUAGGUGGACGUUUCCGGUUGUGCAAGGACCCGGUGAUUUGCCUCAGGUGGACGUAAAAGCCAGUCCACCCCAGGUCCUUUCUCCUGACCAGAGAAGCGUAAAGCUGGAAGGUGCAGGAAAACAUCCAGUUGCUGAGCUGACUUCACUGAAGAAGCCCGGAGAGCUGAGCGCAUUUUCAGUCUCCCAAAUACCAGUCGAACUCACUGCAUGAGAAUGCCGUGGAUCGUGUCUUAACCCCCUUCUGCUCAGUCUCACCAGUGAAAAAUGGAAGAUGCAUACUGGCAUAGAAAGAAGAUCACAAGCUUCGGAGCCAGAGAGACUUAGGUUCAAAUUCCAGCUCAACCCCAUUCCUCUCUGAGUGAUGGUAGAUAACUAUUCAAGGUUCUCAACAUUUAUUGAGCACCUCCUCACACGAGGCUCUGUGCUGUAUGCUGCGAACUUUAAGGUCCGUGAAAUAAUGCCUGCCCAUGAGAAGACUAAGUCUAGCCAGCGAUACGAACCUAAAAACACCAACUGUGGACCGGGAGUGUGCGUAUUCUCUAACGGAGGAGUGUGCACUCUGAUUGAGAGAACUAUUUUCCUUGGUGGAUGGGGCGUGGUUGUGGUCUCGGUGAGCAUGUCAGAGAAGAGGAGGAUGACCUGGAGUCAGGGAAGGGCAUUGUAAUUCAAAAGAACAGCAUGAGGAAAGGCACAGAGGCGUGAAGCGGUGAGAUGCUGAGUUAUCCAUGGAAGCUUGACACAACAGAAGGCCAUAUGAUACCUGGGUUGUGAGGAGCCCAAAAUAUGUCUUACAUGGGAAUCCCAGGUCAUCACAAACUACCAGAACAUCAGAAGGGGACCCCUAACAGUUUGCAAAGGAAAGCUGGGACAGCAGCUGUUAAGGUAAGGGCAUCAGAAAAAUUGUGAAUGCCUUUGAAAUGAGCAAAGCAGAUUACCGGACGUCGGGUAUAGCACACUUUUCCAGAUUAUGUCUAUAGUUUCAUUGUCUUUGAGCUAUUUUACAGCUCUGUAAAUUGUAGAUAACUGAUAGCAAUAAAAAUGAUCCUUGUCCAUGGGCAUGCAAAUAAAUUUUGUCUGGUGGAGGGGCAGUUGAUCUGCUCACACCUUCACCUUCAGAAGAAGCACGUUUUACAUCUAUUAAGCAAGUUCACUUUAGCACUC